rnacentral:rRNA from 1 species
AUCAACUUUCGAUGGUAGGAUAGAGGCCUACCAUGGNNNUAACGGGUAACGGGGUGUUAGGGCACGACACCGGAGAGGGAGCCUGAGAAACGGCUACCACAUCCAAGGAUAGCAGCAGGCGCGCAAAUUACCCAAUCCCGACACGGGGAGGUAGUGACAAUAAAUAACAAUACGGGGUUCUUUAGGAUUUCGUAAUUGGAAUGAGUACAAUUUAAAUCUCUUAACGAGGAACAAUUGGAGGGCAAGUCUGGUGCCAGCAGCCGCGGUAAUUCCAGCUCCAAUAGCGUAUAUUAAAGUUGUUGCAGUUAAAAAGCUCGUAGUUGAAUUUCGGGGUCAGUAGAUUGGUCAUGCCACUGGUAUGUACUGGUCUCACUGAUUCCUCCUUCCUGAUGAGACGUAAUGCCAUUAAUUUGGUGUUGCGAGGAAUCUGGACUGUUACUUUGAAAAAAUUAGAGUGUUUGAAGCAGGCUAACGCUUGAAUACAUUAGCAUGGAAUAAUGAAAUAGGACGUUCGAUCUUAUUUUGUUGGUUCCUAAGAUUGACGUAAUGAUUAAUAGGGAUAGUUGGGGGCAUUAGUAUUCAAUUGUCAGAGGUGAAAUUCUUGGAUUUAUUGAAGACUGACUACUGCGAAAGCAUUUGCCAAGGAUGUUUUCAUUAAUCAAGAACGAAAGUUAGGGGAUCGAAGACGAUCAGAUACCGUCGUAGUCUUAACCAUAAACUAUGCCGACUAGGGGAUCGGAUGAUGUUAAUUUUUUUAAUGACUCAUUCGGCGCCUUACGGGAAACCAAAGUGUUUGGGUUC